rnacentral:lncRNA from 1 species
ACUAUAAAUGCCAAGAAGUUAUAGGAUGGAGAAUGGAGGAUAGUUUUUUGGAAUUUUGAGAAGUAAGAAAGCAUAUACAAACAUAUGCAAAUGAGAUGCAAGCCAGCACCUGCUCCACAUUGUGUAGGCAGCCAGCUUUCUGCAGCCCUGCAUGUUUCUACAAAGGUGAGAGAGGGGCCUCCUUGUGACUCCAGCUGAGCUCUGGGACAUAUCAUGGGGUUUUAUACAAAAAAGAAUCACCCCAAGACUUUCCUUGCUAGGGGCAUUUCUGUUGGAGGAAGCAUCGCCUUGGGAGAGAGAAGAGGACCAGAAUUUAGGCCUCAGAAGGGAAGAAUGAAGACCCCAAAGUUGCCACAUUCUAGGGAGCGCAGACCUCAGGAUUUUGAGGAGUUGGUUCCAUCAGCGUCAAGAGGCUGCUGAUCUUGAGCACCCAUGCUGAAGCAAUCCUCCAGCCUCAGCCUCUUGAGCAGGUAGGUGUGUGCCACCAUGCUAUUUUGCCAUUAUUUCUUAGGAAAAAAAUUAUUCUGUCUUAUUCCUCUCCUUCCUUCUGGCACUCCAGUUAUGCAUAUAUUAGAUCUCUGAUGUUAGACACUGUUCAUUUUUUUAUUCCCCCUUCCCAUCCCUCUUUUUUUUUGAUUAAAUGGCUUCUGUUGAUCAAAUUAAAGCUCACAGAUAGUUACUUGUCAUCUUCAUUCUGUGUUUUUUUUUUUGAGAUGGAGUGGCAUGAUCUCAGCUCCCUGCAACCUCUACCUCCUGGAGUCAAGUGACUCUCCUGCCUCAGCCUUCUGAGUAGCUGGGAGUAUAGGCAUGUGUGACCAUGCCUAGCUAGUUUUUUGUAUUUUUAGUAGAGACAGGGUUUCACUAUGUUGGCCAGGGUGGUCUCGAACUCUUGACCUCAGUGAUCUGCCUGCCUGGGCCUCCCAAACUGCUGGGAUUACAGAUGUGAGCCAGCACCCCCAGCCAUCUUUAUUCUGUUUUAAACCCAUACAGUAAUUGUUUAAAAUAGUCCAGGUAUUGUAAUUUUUAGUACUGGAAUUUCCACUUGAUUCUUUCUAUGUUUUUAUUUCUCUUUAGA